CAAACACACACACACAUACACACGUUAAAUUAUUACAGGACUUGUGUCUCUAUCACGGAUUCCAACUAUAUAUAGCUGUUUAAUUAUCCAAACCACCUUGCGUGCGUGUUUUUGUAAUAACGACAUUUUGAAAACUAAAUGGAUGAAUUGUCUUUAUG